rnacentral:rRNA from 1 species
GACGAACCGUGCGAACGUUGUUCGGAAUCACUGGGCUUAAAGGGCGCGUAGGCGGGCCGCCGCGUCCGGGGUGAAAUCCCCCCGCUCAACGGGGGGACGGCCUCGGAUACGGGCGGCCUGGAGGCGGGUAGGGGCACGCGGAACUGUGGGUGGAGCGGUGAAAUGCGUUGAGAUCCACAGGAACUCCGGUGGCGAAGGCGGCGUGCUGGACCCGUCCUGACG